GACUAAAGGAGACUUUUGCCUCACCUAUUUAAGACACUUGCAUAUGAGUUUAAACUCAGCAAGCAUAUCAUUUUCAGCUCCUAAAAUUCGUCCUUCACCCUUUCUCCAUGGAAGAACAUCAAGCAAAUUUCAAAUGGUCAUAACUCACUCAAUUUUGGUCCGAAUUGAGCGAUUCUUGUGGCCACGGAACGAGGGAAGGAUCCUCUACUGAUAUAUAGUAUCAAUUUAAGGUUAUUGAAAGCUUGAAGGGAGUAUUUUGAUGGUUGUUCAUGGAGGAAUUCAUUCAACCAAAGGGUUAUCCCAUCAAGAAAAGACUCGAAGAAGCGACUAUCGAUAAGGCUCGAGGCGAAUGGAUCGAGAUAUUGUCGUGCUUAUUUAAAGAAUUUGGAUAGCAAGUGGGAUGGUAUGAUAUGAUUUGAAGAGUUAAGCUUCCGAAGUUUUAAUUCUCGGAAGUCAUUUGUAUAAGAAGAAAAAGAAGGUUUUCAUUCUAGCGGUCCGCAGUAGUCUAGAUAUUUUAACUAGAAUUUUGUAUAACGCGUUUUUAACUCUGAUAUUAUUUGUAAAUGGGGUCACACGUAUUUUAAUAUAUGAAAUAUGUUUUGAUUUGCGAAAAAAAUUUACACAGGUUUUUAGGCUUGCUACGGGAUUUGGAGCUACCACUCCCAUUCCCUAGCGCCGGUCGCGGCUCAUAAAUUUG